GCUGCCUGACUUGUUAAUGCGUUUGAUGCUCUAGUAAAUUAGAUGAUUCCUAUCACACUCUUGAAUGAGGAUAUCUACAUUUGUAUACGGACAGCCAAGAAAUGUAAGCUGAACUUGUAGUAGCAGAAGAGAAGGACAGAGUGGUGAUCAGGACAGAGAUCACCUAAUUUAGUACUUCCAGCUAUGAUUCAGAAACUUCACUGCAAGUAGGAACAUGAUCUUCACCUGCUAAAUCAUGAGUGGCCAGCAGUGAUGGCAGAAGAAAAAUGUUUAACUCUGUUCAUUUGAAGACUCUGACCUGAAGUUACAUGCUGACUACGGUUCUUUGCAAGAAUGGGACCCGCUCUCAAGGUUUCAUGACUGGCCACUAUUUGGCACGCCAAGGGCCUGGCCUAAGAAGCUCAGCUCACCUUUGGAGGGCCGAGAUCUCGUGGCUCUGGAGAAGGUCGGUGUCUGGGCAGAUCGGUGUGUUGUGGAAAAUGGAAGAUUGAAGGCUGUGUGCCCAGAGACCCGAGAUCUUUGGGCACAGGGCUUGGAAAAAGUGACGCAAUGGACUUUUAACAUCAUAAACCAGCUAGUUGCUUGUUAUGCUCCCUUCUUGCUGUAAAACUGAGUCACAGCUUUCUCCCUUAUUAGGGAGAGAGAGAGCCUGUGGUAUAUUGAAUACCGGGUGAACAAUGUAGUCUUUGUAGUACUGCAAGUCUAGGUCUUUGCUGUUGCUUUGCUUGCAUUUGAGUGCUCAGUGGCGGGUGCUGAUUUUUUUUUGCCACUGGGGGGAGGGGGGAUUGUUGCCUGCUGCCACUUACAUGCGGGAGGGGACUUUGAGGUUCUAACUGUCAUUCAUUAACCAAUUUCCCCCGGGAUCAAUAAAGUAUGACUAUGACUAUUCUUUGGGGGCACUCUGUUUACGUGGAUGUGUGAAGAAAAAGCAUUUCAGGGUGUAUACUGUAUACAUUUCUCUGACGUUAAAUGUACCUUUGAAACCUUUGAAACAGAAUCACAUGUUUAUGACACAAAAUUAUAUUCUGCAUUGUGAUCAUUUCUGCUGAAAAGGAUUAGAAAGACUUUAGCUUACAGCAUUUUGUGUGCUCAUAGUCCAACUGUACAUCCACAUCAUGAAUUUUGGGCAAUGAGUUAGGCAGUUCCUGAUGAGGUUAUGUAUGGUGGGUAAAAUGACUCAACGUUGUCUUGGUAUUCAUUCAGGAAUCCAAAUAAUGGAAAUCCACUUGAACAUUGGUGAAUGCCUAUGAAAUGCAAAACAGGAAAAAGUGAAUACUUACACUUUCAGGAAUGAAGGCAAACAAGGGUUGCAGCAAAGUGCAGUUUCUGAUCAGCCUGAACUUACUUGGCAUUUAGCCAAGACCUUGCUCUAGCAGCUUUCUAUGAUUGUUGGUGCU